GGCUCAGAUUAGUCCCUAUUGCUAUCGUACAUGACAGGAUGAUGAAAAAUAGUGAUAUUGAGGUAUAGUUAUAGGCGUCGACCCUCUUAUCAGUCAACCAGUAGUCACAAAAGGGUCCCAGUAACAGCAGGGAUGUAGCCUGUAUUGGUGCAGUAUGUGCCAACAGGUUGAAUGAUCCCAAUGAAUAUUUACGCUGAAGAUGAUGUACAUAAUAUUGCUGCAGGGCAGUGCUCCAGACCGCGAUGAAGGCAGCAAUAAAACCCUUUGUAUUUACACUUACAUCAGUAACAGUACAGAUUGCAACACCUAGUAGGACUAACAAAAUGCUUAAUUUGGUGUCUCUCGAGUAUCGCACAUUAUCCAGCACAAUUUCCAAAAAGCACGACACUGGUAUCAUAC
rnacentral:misc_RNA from 1 species